rfam:Daucus carota subsp. sativus cultivar DH1 chromosome 1, whole genome shotgun sequence.
UGGCAAUGACGAUAAAAAGGCCGGACUUACAGCUGCUUUCCAUAUUGUUGGUAGUAGAUUGAUGAUCCACUUCCAAAGGUUAUACUGAGCCAA